rnacentral:rRNA from 1 species
UCCCAGACUCCUACGGGAGGCAGCAGUAGGGAAUAUUGCUCAAUGGGGGAAACCCUGACGCAGCAACGCCGCGUGAUUGAUGAAGCCCUUCGGGGUGUAAAGAUCUGUCAGUGGGGACGAAACUUGACGGUACCCACAGAGGAAGCAUCGGCUAACUCCGUGCCAGCAGCCGCGGUAAUACGGAGGGUGCAAGCGUUACUCGGAAUCACUGGGCGUAAAGAGUGCGUAGGCGGGGUAAUAAGUCAGAUGUGAAAUCCUGUAGCUUAACUACAGAACUGCAUUUGAAACUGUUACUCUGGAGUGUGGGAGAGGUAGGUGGAAUUCUUGGUGUAGGGGUAAAAUCCGUAGAGAUCAAGAGGAAUACUCAUUGCGAAGGCGACCUGCUGGAACAUUACUGACGCUGAUGCACGAAAGCGUGGGGAGCAAACAGGAUUAGAUACCCCAGUACC